UACGGGGGGAGCAAGCGUUGUUCGGAUUUACUGGGCGUAAAGCGCGUGUAGGCGGCUUGGCAAGUCGGAUGUGAAAGCCCACGGCUCAACCGUGGAAGCGCACCCGAAACGGCCUCGCUCGAGUCUCGGAGAGGAAGGUGGAAUGCUUGGUGUAGAGGUGAAAUUCGUAGAUAUCAAGCAGAACACCUGCGGCGAAGGCGGCCUUCUGGACGAUGACUGACGCUGAGACGCGAAAGCGUGGGGAGCAAACAGG
rnacentral:rRNA from 1 species